CUAAGGUAGCGAAAUUCCUUGUCGGGUAAGUUCCGACCUGCACGAAUGGCGUAACGACUUCCCAACUGUCUCAACCGCGAACUCGGCGAAAUUGCAUUACGAGUAAAGAUGCUCGUUACGCGCAGCAGGACGGAAAGACCCCGUGACCUUUACUACAGCUUGGUAUUGGUGUUCGGUGUGGCUUGUGUAGGAUAGGUGGGAGACGGUGAAGCAUUCACGCCAGUGAGUGUGGAGUCAUUGUUGAAAUACCACUCUGGUCACUCUGGAUAUCUAACUUAGGACCGUGAUCCGGUUCAGGGACAGUGCCUGGUGGGUAGUUUAACUGGGGCGGUUGCCUCCCAAAAUGUAACGGAGGCGCCCAAAGGUUCCCUCAACCUGGUUGGCAAUCAGGUGGCGAGUGUAAGUGCACAAGGGAGCUUGACUGUGAGACUGACAGGUCGAGCAGGGACGAAAGUCGGGACUAGUGAUCCGGCAGUGGCUUGUGGAAGCGCUGUCGCUCAACGGAUAAAAGGUACCUCGGGGAUAACAGGCUGAUCUUGCCCAAGAGUCCAUAUCGACGGCAUGGUUUGGCACCUCGAUGUCGGCUCGUCGCAUCCUGGGGCUGGAGUAGGUCCCAAGGGUUGGGCUGUUCGCCCAUUAAAGCGGUACGCGAGCUGGGUUUAGAACGUCGUGAGACAGUUCGGUCCCUAUCCGCUGCGCGCGUAGGAAGUUUGAGAGGAUCUGACCCUAGUACGAGAGGACCGGGUUGGACGAACCUCUGGUGUGUCAGUUGUUCCGCCAGGAGCACCGCUGAUUAGCUACGUUCGGGAUGGAUAACCGCUGAAAGCAUCUAAGCGGGAAGCCGGCCUCAAGAUGAGACUUCCAUACCAUUUAUGGUGAGAGGCUCCCAGCCAGACUACUGGGUUGAUAGGCCGGAUGUGGAAGCGUAGUAAUACGUGAAGCUGACCGGUACUAAUAAGCCGAUGACUUGAUAACACACC
rnacentral:rRNA from 1 species